UUACAAGACAACCCCCAUAAUUGAUAUAGGAUCAUGACAGAAUCAGCGAUUUGAUACAGAUUUUUUGGAACCAGGGUGCUAAUCUGAGACUAAAAAUAUGUUGGAUCAGUUUUGAUUUUAGGUUUGGAGCAGAAAAAGAGUUGAUAAUCAAACUAGACUUCCAACAUAUAGCUCUAGAAUCUUUUUGGUAGGAAUAUAGCUUUAGAAUCAAUUGAAUAAGAAACCGGAGACAGAUUAUAAGUUGGGGAACUAACAAUCCUACCAUUUUCCUAAGAAGGAAUCCACACAUCUGAAUGGAUCCUAGUGGUAGAUUCAUCACCUAUUUUUCUAUUUUUGCUCCUCUCUCUCUCUCUCUCUCUGGGAUUCACUUUUCAAUUUCAAUUAAUUUUUCUUGACUACUCUUAGAUGGAGGAAAUGAAAUUACAGAUACAGGGGAAGUGAAUGUGAAUGAGAAGAAGAAGAUCUUCGUUGUUGCCGGAGCUACCGGGAAUACCGGAAAAAUAGAUUGUUGAUCAGCUCCAACUCAAGGGUUUUGCAGUGAAGGCAGAGAGUGGUUCGUGAUAUAGAGAAGGCCAAUUGUGGGUGAAAGCCAGUGUAGCAGAAUAAGCUAGCAGCAAGCUGUGGUGAUAUUUGCUACCAGUUUUCAACCUUUGUGAGAUCAUUGGCUCCAUGGAAGGGUGAAUUAUUAUUAUUAUUAUUUUUUGUUGUUCAUGGAAAUGCAUUCAGGGACACCAAUCAUCAAUUCCUAUAUGAACUUCUGAUGUUGCCUAAGAUCUGUGAAUUAGCAUACUAUGGAUUUUUUUAUGCUUGUGUGCCUUUGAUUUUUAUAUUUGUUUCUGGUGUCAACCCAAUCUGAUUACAUAGUCAACUAAGACAAAAGCAUCUCGACUAACUAAAUUUACUGUUACUCUACUACAUGUGAAUGGAUACCCACUUCAGGGGCAAGCUCCCUAGAUCUUAAGCUGGGACUCAUUCAAGCCUUGCAGUUCAUGGAGGAACUGUUUCUCAAGGAAAAAGGGAGGGAGACAACCAUGAUAGAUUCAGUACAAACUGGGAAGGCAGACCUCUUAUCAUAACUGAUUCUGGUAUUCAUGAUGCAAUCAGAUUGUGAAAGAUCCAGAUCUAUAAUGACCAAACUGUGAUGAUGUGAACAAUGGAACAGUGCUUAAAUUCAAAAACCAUGAAUUUCAUAUCCUACAAAGUGCAGAAAAUCCAAAGAAAAGACAACCCAUUUACAGAAAGAAUAUGAAAGGCAAAGACAAACACACAUGCAUUCAACAACAUAAAAAUCAAAAGAACCAAGCAACCAGAGAAACUAUGGCUGCAACAAUGGCUGGUGCUGACGGAGCCACUCCAGCACUCUCCAUGGACGGCGACGGUGCAAUCCUUUCGAAAUCUUCAAGUGCUCCUGUGGCUCCAAGGAAAGCCAUCAAAACCAAAAUGUAAAUGGUAAAGAAAAUGGCCAACCUGCAGUUCUCCAUAUCUUACUAAACUCCCAGCUGCUUAAAAGGGAAUAAGAACUGGAUGCUUGGAGAACAAGUGCUCUGUAGAAGUGGGUUUGAAUUCUGAGAAGAGAAAGGGGAGCUUCCAUGCUUUUAAAAGGAAGUUUGUGGAGUACUGAAGAGGAAUCUGCCAGUUCUUUAGUGUUGGGAUAACCACAAACAGAAUCAUUUGAGAUGGUGAUCUGUCAACUGUCACAUGCAUUUUACAUUUCUCAGGCUUUACCAUCCUUAACAGGCUGGACUAAGUGCAUCCAUUGGGGUUCAAUGGCUCUGUCACUUAUCAGAGUGAUUCAGAGAUACACAUUUCAAGGUGGCAAUGAUAUGAUGUUAUUAUUGAGAAGAUGCCAAUGAUUUGAUAUUCUAUAAUUGUUUGGUAGAUUCCAGGUAAUGUUGAGUGUUAUUAAAUUAUAGAUGUCAGUGCCAAUUAUAGUUAAAUGGAUUGCCUUGCAACUUGUAAGCUUUAAUUGUAAACAAAGGUGACUGACUAAUAAUUUUUCAUGUCUUUCAUACUAUUAGGAUCAGUUGAGGAUGAGACCCAAUGAAGAGAUUGAUGAGGGCUAAAGAUCAGUUCUUGAUAA